UAUGGGCAGCGCAGAGGGUCAUGUUCAGGGUCAUGUUCAGGGUCGUGUUUAGGGGCAUGAGCUGCGGUGUUUGGCCCGGGGAGGAGCUGCGGCCUCGGGCUGCCAGAUGCUGAGGAGCUGCGGCGCAACUUCCUGCGGCGGCCCGGGGAGAGGAAGAGGCAGAGGAAGAGGAGCCGGAGGAAGAAGCCCCCCUCCAGGAUCAUUGCGCUCAGCGCCGCUAGCUCGUCGGCUAACGGUCCGGACAGCAGCCAUGAAGAGCCGCAGCAGCCACUGAAAGUUCGCCGCCUCUCACUCCUGGACUCUAAUCGACGGCUGGGCGGUUCGGGAAGUUCGGGUAACUGGGCCGGAAUCCGCUGGAGAAGCCCGACCUGAAGAGACUCGGCUGGCGGAGGAGCGAAGAUGAAGAAGCAGUUCAAUCGGAUGAAGCAGCUCGCUAAUCAGACGGUUGGCAGAGCAGAGAAGACAGA